AUUGAACGCCGGCGGCAGGCCUAACACAUGCAGGUCGAGCGGAUGAGUGGAGCUUGCUCCAUGAUUCAGCGGCGGACGGGUGAGUAAUGCCUAGGAAUCUGCCUCUUUGUGGGGGAUAACGUAGGGAAACUUACGCUAAUACCGCAUACGACCUACGGGUGAAAGUGGGGGACCGCAAGGCCUCACGCAGAGAGAUGAGCCGGCGCCGGAUUAGCUAGUUGGCGGGGUAAAGGCCCACCAAGGCGACGAUCCGUAGCUGGUCUGAGAGGAUGAUCAGCCACACUGGAACUGAGACACGGUCCAGACUCCUACGGGAGGCAGCAGUGGGGAAUAUUGGACAAUGGGCGCAAGCCUGAUCCAGCCAUGCCGCGUGUGUGAAGAAGGCCUUCGGGUUGUAAAGCACUUUUGUCCGGAAAGAAAAGCAUUCGGUUAAUAACCGGGUGUCAUGACGGUACCGGAAGAAUAAGCACCGGCUAACUUCGUGCCAGCCGCCGCAGUAAGAC
rnacentral:rRNA from 1 species